AUUGAACGCUGGCGGCAGGAAUAACACAUGCAAGUCGAGCGAGCGGCGGACGUGGGAGUAAUGUAUGGGGACUGCCCGAUAGCGGGGGAUAACUAAUGGAGACGGUGGCUAAUACCGCAUACUAUCGGAUAACCCAUAUGGGAUUAGCACGGAGGUGGGGUAAAGGCGCACCUCGGCGACGAUCGCUCGCUGGGCUGAGAGGAUGAUAAGCCACACUGGGACGGAGACACGGCCCAGACUCCUACGGAGGCAGCAGUGGGGAAUAUUGCACAAUGGUCGCAAGCCUGAUGCAGCCAUGCCGCGUGUAUGAAGAAGGCCUUAGGGUUGUAAAGUACUUUCAGCGGGGAGGCGUUACCCGCAGAAGAAGCACCGGCUAACUCCGUGCCAGCAGCCGCGGUAAUAC
rnacentral:rRNA from 1 species